rnacentral:rRNA from 1 species
UACCGAGGUCAAAGCUCCUCGUUUCGGUCUGAUCUUGUCAUAUUUCAGAAGCUAAGCAGGACUGGGCUUGGUUAGUACUUGGAUGGGAGACCUAUGUGUAUACCAGGUACCACAGUAG